rfam:Trichuris suis scaffold51.3, whole genome shotgun sequence.
GACAGCGUGGCCGAGCGGUCUAAGGCGCCAGACUCAAGUGCAAACUUGCCUGCGUUUAGCAGGUCUGAGUGUUCUGGUCAGUGAAUACUGGCGUGGGUUCGAAUCCCACCGCUGUCA